UAAGGGUGGGUGGUGUAUCUGUUACUGUAGUGUUCUCAGGUUAAGGGUGGGUGGUCAGAGAUGGGCAAAAAUACAUCAAAAUGUAUUUUGAUACAAAAUACCCCUCAUAAAUGUAUCAAAAUAAAAUACAAAAUACUGGUGCCAGAAAAUGUAACAAAAUACAAUACAUGUAUUUUGUAUUUAAAAUAUAGGAAAUACUUUUUCUGGAUUUUCCGUUUUCUCACAGUUUGGUAUAGCAGAGCAUUCAGGUUUGGGCUAUAUAAUGUACACAAAGCUCUGGGGAACCCCACAAAAAGGAAAAACAGUCACAGAAUAUCAGUGUAACUAAGCAAAGCUAUUAAAAGACAACAACUUGAUUGAUUAUGUAUAUAUAUAUAUUUGCAGGCAGCAGCUGUGUGACACAUUUUUUCACAAAACAGGGAUCUCAAUGCAAUCUCUGGCUUCCGGGAGGGCUCGCCCCACCAUGCUUUUGUCAUACGUCAAUUGUGUAUAAGGACGUCAUACUGCUUUGAUCAAGUCACAGGCCAUGUCUAUUACCGCACACUUCAAACACUGACUUUCAGUGCUUAGGGCGUUCACACUGACAGAACCAGCAGAAUUCAGGGCACUGAAAGUACCUGGAUGGCGCACUGCAAACGGUAAAAAAAUGCAGUGUGAAAUAAUAGACACUACUCACUCUAAACAGGCGCCAUCUUGGCUACGUAGCGGAAGAGGAGGAGCCCUUUCAACCAUUAUUGCUGGUUACAAUAACUGUGUUAUCUGAUAGUACAGUGUCUAUUUCUCUGUAACUUUUAAAAAAUCUAAGCGAGAAAACGCUAAAAGAUGUACAUUUACAUACAAAACACGGCUGUCAGCAGAGUUUUGGUCCGCCAUCUUUGUUUUUCGCCAAAUUUCCAGUUGGCCGGAGCACAGAUUUACGGGUUAAAGGCUCCCACAUUUGUGUCUCUCAGUGUUCCAUUUCAGACAACACUAAUCAGCGACAGAACAAACUACAUAUGGAAGUGCACUGUAUUGCAGUGCACUGUAUUGCAGAGUACUUCGUAAAGUGUGCCGUAAUAGCCACGGCCACAUUCUGUCAAGAUGGCUAACGUUCGGUGCAACAACUCGAUUCGCUCUUUGAAAGAACCUCCUUUAAGUCGCUGUACUAAUAAAGAUAAAUUGACAAGGAUCAAGACAGCUAUCUAAGUUUUCGAACACAGUCCUGUUUUGUGAAAAAAAUGGAUUUAAUGUGCAUUUCGCCCCAAAAAGGGGCGGGGUCAUUUGAAGCACCACUUUUGCCUGACUGUUGCCUGAUUCGACAAUGACAUUCAGAGGCAGAUCAGACGGUCUAGUGGUAGAAUCUGACAGAAAAAAAAUCUCCUUCUGCCUUAACAAUGGAGAAAGUAUUUUGAGAAUUUUAAAUACAAAAUGACUCUACUCUAAAGUAUUUUGAUACAAAUUGCUUUAGAUUUUUUAUCGGCCCUAUCAAAUUACAAAAUACUCAAAGCAGUUGAAAUAUGUAUUUCAAAUACAAGUAAUUGAAAUACUGCCCAUCUCUGUGGGUGGUGUAUCUGUUACUGUAGUGUUCUCAGGUUAAGGGUGGUGUAUCUGUAUCUGUAGUGUUCUCAGGUUAAGGGUGGUGUAUCUGUAGUGUUCUCAGGUUAAGGGUGGGUGGUGUAUCUGUAACUAGUGUUCUCAGGUUAAGGGUGGUGUAUCUGUAUCUGUAGUGUUCUCAGGUUAAGGGUGGUGUAUCUGUUACUGUAGUGUUCUCAGUUAUCUCUACAGUCCACAGGAGCCUUAGAAAGCUGGAACCUUUCAAUUUCCUCUGACAGAAAUCAAAUUAGCCACCACUGUGACCGCAACGUAAUCAUGUGUGUGA
ensembl:lncRNA